ACGUACACUCCUGCGGGAGGCAGCAGUGGGGAAUAUUGGACAAUGGGCGCAAGCCUGAUCCAGCCAUGCCGCGUGAGUGAUGAAGGCCCUAGGGUUGUAAAGCUCUUUCACCGGUGAAGAUAAUGACGGUAACCGGAGAAGAAGCCCCGGCUAACUUCGUGCCAGCAGCCGCGGUAAUACGAAGGGGGCUAGCGUUGUUCGGAUUUACUGGGCGUAAAGCGCACGUAGGCGGACUAUUAAGUCAGGGGUGAAAUCCCGGGGCUCAACCCCGUAACUGCCUUUGAUACUGGUAGUCUUGAGUUCGAGAGAGGUGAGUGGAAUUCCGAGUGUAGAGGUGAAAUUCGUAGAUAUUCGGAGGAACACCAGUGGCGAAGGCGGCUCACUGGCUCGAUACUGACGCUGAGGUGCGAAAGCGUGGGGAGCAAACAGGAUUAGAUACCCGAGUAGUCCCAUGA
rnacentral:rRNA from 1 species